AGGGAGUAUAGCAUGGAUGUGAGAGAACGGAGUCACCUCUGGGCCUAUGAGAGAUUCCGAUUUAGAUCUCUCCAACCUUGGAUCUCUUGACCU
ensembl:misc_RNA